rnacentral:rRNA from 1 species
CAAUAGCGUAUAUUAAAGUUGUUGCAGUUAAAAAGCUCGUAGUUGGAUUUCUGGUGGGAGCGAUCGGUCUGGCGCUUAGCGCGAGUACUUGCAUCGUCUCCGGCCAUCCUUGGGGAGAGUCUGUCUGGCAUUAAGUUGUCGGGCAGAGGAUCCUCAUCGCUUACUGUGAAAAAAUUAGAGUGUUCAAAGCAGGCUUAUGCCGUUGAAUAUAUUAGCAUGGAAUAAUAAGAUAGGACUUUGGUACUAUUUUGUUGGUUUGCGCACCAAAGUAAUGAUUAAUAGGGACAGUUGGGGGUAUUCGUAUUCCGUUGUCAGAGGUGAAAUUCUUGGAUUUACGGAAGACGAACUACUGCGAAAGCAUUUACCAAGGAUGUUUUCAUUAA